rnacentral:rRNA from 1 species
UACGGGGGGGGCAAGCGUUGUUCGGAAUUACUGGGCGUAAAGGGCUCGUAGGCGGCCAACUAAGUCAGACGUGAAAUCCCUCGGCUUAACCGGGGAACUGCGUCUGAUACUGGAUGGCUUGAAUCCGGGAGAGGGAUGCGGAAUUCCAGGUGUAGCGGUGAAAUGCGUAGAUAUCUGGAGGAACACCGGUGGCGAAGGCGGCAUCCUGGACCGGCAUUGACGCUGAAGCGCGAAAGCUAGGGGAGCAAACGGG